UACGAGGGGUCCUAGCGUUGUUCGGAAUCAUUGGGCGUAAAGAGUAUGUAGGCGGCUAGAUAAGUCAGGUGUGAAAUCCCCGGGCUCAACCCGGGAAGUGCAUUUGAUACUGUCUAGCUUGAGUAUGGAAGAGGGUAGUGGAAUUCCUGGUGUAGUGGUGAAAUACGUAGAUAUCAGGAGGAACACCGGUGGCGGAGGCGGCAUCCUGGACCGGAACUGACGCUGAGGCGCGAAAGCGUGGGGAGCAAACAGG
rnacentral:rRNA from 1 species